GUGUGUGUGUCCAGCGGAGCGGAGGAAGUUCCAGAUUGCGCCUGGGUUGGGGGAGAAGAGAAGGAGGUGGGAGAGCGGGAGCAGAUGGAAAGAAGUGCAACUUUCUUUUUAGUUCCGUUUAAGUUCGGUGGAAGCUGUAAUGGCAAAAAAAAGAGUACAAUUUAUUAUCGACUGCUGUGAAUGGUGCGAGUCGGGCGGGGUGAACCAGAAUAAGUAGCAUACCAGAAGGGUGCCACCUAUGUGCAGUUCCUCGUUAGUAUAGUGGUGAGUAUCCCCGCCUGUCACGCGGGAGACCGGGGUUCGAUUCCCCGACGGGGAGAUGCAAAAGUGCCUUUUUUUCUCCCUCUUAACGUAUGCUUGAAAAUGAAAAUAUUUGUACAAACGUUGUACAAGCCAGUGUGUAAGAAAUAACCCAUUAAGAUCUGUUUUGUUGCUGGUUUGCAAAAAAGGUGAGCUCAAUUCUGUCGGUUCUGUGUGUGUGUGUGUGUGUGUGUGUGUGUGUUAGUAUUUAUUAUGUACAUUUCCAGGCCCCAGAGAUCUAAAACAAAAUAUUGAUUCCCAGCCUAGAAGUCUAGGAAGAUUAUUUCAAGAUGCUGUAAUGAGAGAGUCCUGUCAUAUGAGUGUGCACUGGCCACAAGGGCAAUGCAGAGCUGGGACAUGUAGCUCAGCUCCAGAAAAGGUUAUACAUCUGGUGUGGCAAAGACCAUUAGCUGUUCCACAACAUCUGUAUUUCUUUAUCCUUAGUAUUAAAACUCUCCAUGUUUAGCAGGACACAUGGCCUCCCAGAAGACUGCAUUUCCCAGCCUUUUUGCAGUUCUGGCCAAGGUGUGCCUGAUUGCAAGAUUCAGCCAUACAGAUUGUUUUUUUCUGACUCAGGGAUUCCAGCUCUACUCAUAUUUUUCCUGUUGGUAUCUCAGCAUUUCUCAAGCGGAGUCACACACUUCCAGGUACCCACUCACCUGGCUUCUGCCUUCCUCCAAGCUGCUUCCUCUGGGCUCCCUGCGUA